ensembl:lncRNA
GCCGCGCCGGCGCGCCGACCGCGUGCCCGUGAGGGGGACCGUGGGGAGGCCUGCGGCCCCGGCUGGGGUGUCCCCGACCGCAACCGGAGGAAGGGAUCCGGGGCUGGUACCUGCGACGGCACCUGUGACAGCUCCGUAAAUUUUGUCCGUGGGACCCGAGCCUUCACCGAGUCUGGGCUGGAUCCUCAUGGCUGCUGGAAGCUCUUCGCCCCUGGGUGGAAGCAAAGGAGAGCCUCGCAGACUCGAUUAACCCGUCUGUUGGGCGUCUUGCCCCUGGUUUCCUUCCCCUGCUCCCUUCUUGAUUCUUAAUUUCAGCCAAAGAGAAAGUAAAGAAUCAGAAGAAAAGGCCCCCCGGUACAUAGUUGUACAUUCUUCGUUGUGGGUCCUUCUAGUUGUGGCAUGUGGGAUGCCGCCUCAGCGUGGCUUGAUGAGCAGCGCCAUGUCCGCACCCAGGAUUCGAACCAACGAAUCACUGGGCCGCCUGCAGUGGAGCACGCGAACUUAACCACUCGGCCACGGGGCCGGCCCCUGUAAUAAGUCCGAACAGCCUUGUCACCCUGGCCUUGAAGAGCCUUCUCAGAGAAGAUGGCAAAGGCAGGACAUUAGCUUGAGGAGGUGCUCCCGGGAUGGAGGAGGAGUGACUAUGGAAGGAAGACUUCUGUUCCACUCCAAAGGUCCCCAGGUACUGAACCUAAGAGGUUAGAGGAUGUUUUUCUUACCUGACGCUGCAUUUCAAGCACUCAAUAGCCACCUAUGGGAAAAAAAGAACAAAGUUCCCCUGCCAUCUAUUAAGACACGUUACAAAACCAAGGUAAUUUAAAAACAACAAUUUGUUAGUAGCACAAGAACAGACGAUCAAACAAUGAAACAGAAUAGAGUCCAGAAACAGAUCCCAGGAUCUUGAUGUAUGAAAGAGGUGGCAUCAAAACUUAGUAGGGAAGAAAUAAAUUGUUUGAUAAAUGGUGGGGAGAAAAUUGGUUACCCUUGGGAGAGGACAAAAAUUAGAACUCCACCUCACACACACAGGCAGAGAAAAGACCUGCAGUGGGGGCCGGCCCCUUGGCCGAGUGGUUAAGUUCACGCACUCAGCUUUGGCAGCCCAGGGUUUCACUGGUUCGGAUCCUGGGUGCAGACCUAGACCACUCAUCAAGCCAUGCUGAGGUGGCGUCCCACAUUGCAGAGCCAGAAGGACAUACAACUUUUUACUGGGGUUUUGGGGAGAAGAAGAAAAAAAAGAAGAUUGGCAACAGAUGUUAGCUCAGGUGCCAAUCUUUAAAAAAAAAAAAAACCUGCAGUGGUCUAUGUUUCCAGCUGAUACUGAUCUUGGGCUUCUGAUCCAGAGCCAGAAAGCAGAGGAGAGACAAACCAUUUCUAGCAGGUUGUCUCCCCACAUAAGCACAUGGAUCUACCACUUACCUCCUUCAAUUACUUUCUCUUGGCCUCGGAAUUCAUAGAAAUUCCUCCAAGGUACUCAAAAUGGGCCAGUCCUUGGAUAUGGUCCCAGUAUACCGGAUUGUGUCUUCAAGAUGUUUUUGUCUUCAUAAGCAUUUUAUUGUGAAGUUGGAAAGAGCCACAUUAAGAGCUGCUGACCAGAUGCAGAUUUAACUACUCUUAACUUUCAGAUUAUUGAGUUCAACAUAUUAGUAGUUUUUACCCAUUCAUGUGACCACAAAUUCGAUUUUCAUAUCUCCUUCAUUUUCAUUCAAGUUCAUAAUAAAAAUAUUUGACUAGGUCACAGUCAUAGACAAAGCUCUCAGAAAAAUAAUUAGGAGAUUUUGCAGAAAGCUGAUAUGGACCCAUUGAUUAUCAGCAACGUUUGGGUAAGGCACUUCCUGAUCCCCUCCCUUUGUAGCUCUGCUCUCUCUGUAGCUGGGGCCACUUGACUUCCACCUAUGGUCUUGGCCUCCCUGUAUGUCUGGGAAUAAUCCCAGGAAUUUGAAGGUCUCCAGACCAAAACUCUAGAAUUCAGCAUUGGGUCAUGUUUCUUCCUAGUAUAGUACUGGCCCUUAUCCAAGGUAUAACAGCUCGGCUUCUGCCAUGUGGCCGAUUCUUAAAUUACUGUCUUGAUGAGCUGCUUUUUAACCCCUGUUAUCCUGUGACUGGAGACCUGUUUUCUUUAAAAAAAAAAAUAGUUAAACUUUGGGUCUUUUCAUUUACCUCUCCUAAAUCACCACAGAAAGAUCCCCCCACCCCCAACCUCUGAUACAAAAAUGCGAAGCCUGCAACCUGUCAAUUUUUUUGUGGUGCCAGCUCUUGCCUGCCUAAGUUUCCAAUUACUAUUUGGAUCUGAUUCCCUUACACUGUCCAUCUUUUAGUGUGUCCCACCAUUGUAUUAGACACUUGUCAACCUCCUCCAUGCUGAUUGCUUGCCUUUAGCAUCACCUAUUUAUUACCUGUCACAGUACCUUCAAAAUACCAUACCUGUCAACCAGUCUUGUCUUCCUCCAGCAUCUUGUCUUUCUUCAACAUCUGUAUCUCUUCCUCAAUAUUUUCCUAUCUUAUUGACCAAAAUAUUAUAAGCAGUUUUCUCGGAUGUUUGCUGAAAUCAAAGAUUUGAUGUCCAUGACUUUCUCUGAUAUGUAAUCUACCAAUUCUAUCAAAAAAGAAAUAAUUUUUGCUUGGCACACUUGGUGUUAGAGAAUCCAAAAUAGAUCCUACUGUUUAUCUUUCCUUUCUCUAAAUGCUUGAACAUGAAAUAUCAUUUCAUUCUCUGGAAUGACUUUUAUCUGGAUUUGGAAAUUUGAACAUUAGUCUCCAGCAAAAUUCUGGACAACAAAGCCACCAAUUUGUAGUCACCAAUGUAUAAACAGUAAGGAAAACGUACUAUUUCAUAUAACAAGAAAUCCUGGAGUAUGUUGUGUCCAGGUUGGUUGAUUCAGCAGCUCAAUGAUAUUAUCAGAGACCCAGAUUCUUGCCAUAUCUGUGCUUUGCCAUCAUCACCAUAUGGCCUUGUCCUUGGCUGGCGCCCUUCAAGGGAGCUCCCACAGCUCCAAGUAUCAUGCCCAACCAAAGAUAAGGACUGUUUUUCCUGUAAGUCUCCCUUUAGGAGUAAGGAAACCUUUCCCAGCUGACCUCUCAUUACAUUUUAUUGCACAGAACCUCUCCCUUCCAAACCAACCACUGGCAGGCUCAGACUGCUCAGAAUUUAAUCCUGAAACACAUAGGGAAGGGAUGGCCAGCCCCUUCAAAUUGGCUCUUGACCCGAUAGCGCAAAGUGGGCAAAGGCUCUUGGCUAGACAACCAUACUGGCUGGGAUAUUUGAAGACAGUUACUAAUGAAGACCCAUUAAAAUAGCAUAGAUUUUAUCUGUUAAGAUAGUUUAAAGCAGGAUUGUGUUCAAAACAAAGGGGUAGAUUAAGUUAUCUCUAAAAUUCCCUGCCAACUGUUUCAUGCUGUGAUUCUGUUCCCAUUGUUUUUGCUGGGGAAGCCGCUUGCAAUUUAAAAUUGUGCACAUCAGCAAUGUUUGUGCUGCCAACAAAAGUGCACAGUUGCUGAUCCAUGAGCAUUUCACCUAAUAGCACAUUUGUGGAAGACUGAGUCACAGGGAAUCUAGGUCCUGUGAAUCCAUUAUCUGAACAAUUUUUGUGAAUGCCUUACAUCUUAGAUACCAGCAGCUUCCCUGUAAAUAAACAAAGUAAAAUGAAACAAUUGACGUAUAACGUAUAACGUGGGUUGGGCAAAGCAAAGCAGGUUUGGCUACCUGGUGUUUUACUGGAAAUGUUCCUUUUUAUUUAUUUUGAGCUGAAAGCAGGAGAUUCUGUUAAAUAAGGCAACAAGUAAGCUGUAGAUGUUAACCCUGCAAUGGAAGAAAACUUGCAGAAAACUUGACCUGAUUCAUUUACUCCUGUGCAGAGACAUUACUAUGCUAUAUGGUGAGCUAUUCAUAUGAAAUACAAUCCACAUGACUUCCACCUGAGCAGCCCAAGUCCUUUUAGAUCUACUUAGAGGAAGGGAGGGAAAAACUGGGUGGAGAAGAAAGUUAUUUUUGUGGCAGUCACGGUAUGAUUAGUUGUAGAUCCAUAAAUUAUCAGCCAACGUUCUCUCUUCUCUAGCAGUAAGAGUAGAGAGUAGUAACUGAAUCCAACUGACACUGCAGGGGUAGAGUCGUCAGGACUCAGUGACUGAUUGGAUUUGGGGAACCAGAAAGAAGAGUUGAAGAGAAUGUUGAGCUUUCUCAUUGGGAGAUUUUUACUAACACAGUUGAACAAUUACUGCACGAUGGAUACUAUGCUGAGCACUUAAUAUAACAAUUAUGUCUCUUGCUUCUCCCCAUAGUUCUAUUAAGUAAGUGCUAUUGUUAUUUCUACUUUACAAUGUAAGAAGCUGAGGCUUCAUGGGGUUAACUUAGUACGUGGCAGACGUGAGAUUAAAAUCUAGAUCAUGACGCUUUGCCAUUCUGGGUGGGGAGAAGGAAAAUGAGGAGUUUCCAUUUAGACAUAGCGAGUUUUAAGUGUUGGCAGGACAUUCAAUUGAAGACAUCCAGCAGGCUAUAGGAAAUGUGAAACUAAGUUUAAAAAGAUUUAGGAUGGAGGAUGGAUUUGUCAGUUAUUUGCUGAGAGGUACGAGUUAAAGUCAUGAGCUUGCCCUUGGAGUCUCUGAGGUCUACUAACUCAGUUUUGCUGUGUGGUUAUCUUUAUGCACCUCAAACAAGGGAUUAAAAGAAAAAUUGGUCGACCCAUAGGCUCGGCUGAUUGGUCUGAAAGGCCCACUGACGGCCCAUGUGACUUUGGGCAAGUCAUUUAACCACUCUGAGCUUCUGUAAAAGGAACUCUCUUCCAACUCUGAAAUUCUAGACAAAUGAAUGCCUGGAUUAAGGCAGUUGCAGUGAGAGAAAGAGAUGAAUGCAAGAAUUACCACAGAGACAAUUGACUGGAUGCCAAAAUGCGAGACAGAAGAAGAGACAGAAGAUAGAGACAAAUUUUCUAGCCUAGAGUUUAGGAAAAUCAGCACCAUUAGCCAAGAUAGGGAAAGCGGUGGUGCCAAAGAGUUUUGAGGGAUGAUAAUUUAUUGUUUUCCUGCUCUUUAUACUCCUUUCUAAUAAGCCCCACCUUUAACUUUUCACAUCUUGAUCUUCCUUCUUUUAAUUUUUCUCCCACUAGGUGCUUGCUCCUUCAGUGGGCAGCUCUUCACUAUUUCAUUCAUCUUUUUUCCCCAUUGCCUCUAGUUUCAUUCAUACCCAUUCUUAGGCCCCCUAAAAAGCCUCCUCCCUCCUUAAUUACCAACCAAUGGUAAUUCUACCCUUCAAUCUCUUGCAUCCUUAUCAUCAUCCUUAAUAGCUAAUUUGUCCCAGGGCUUGAAUUGAGUGUUCCACAUACGUUAGCUCAUUUAAUUCUGACAGUAAUCCUUUGUGGUAGGUCCUCUCAGUCCUGUAGAACAAGGGAAGGAACUGAGGUUUGAAAUGAUUACAUUGUUGGCCUGAGUCCCACAGUGAAUGGGGAAGCAAGGAAUGGAACCCAGAUUGUUUGACACCAAUGUCCAAGCUCUAACCACCACGUGUCAUGCUUUCUUUAGCCAAAUUCAUGUUUUUGUGUAUCUUACCUUUGACCAAUUUCAUUCCACUUUUCUGAAGUGUUUUCAGUAUUUUCAUUGAUGAAUACAAUUAUUUAAGCAAUUAAUCCUUCAUAUAGUUCUACAAAAAGCCCUUUUGUUUCACAUUAUCACUCCCAAAGCAACCAGACUAGCACCUCAUAUUCUCCUGAAUAUAUGUACAUGCAAGGCAUUCACCUGCUUCUCGUCAUUUCCUUUCCUGCUCACUUCAAUCUGAUGAGGUUGACAAGGAAGACUUUACACAUCAGGAGAGGGAAGUGUUGCAAAAGAAUAUGAGGCAUAGACCCAGUUUUGGCUAAAAAACAAAACGACACUUGUACAAGACACAAGAUGUACACACACAGAGCAGUUAGAUAAGAGUAAACAAGAGUGAAUGAUUAAGUGUCCUGAAGAAAAGUAAAAACAGUAAACACUGCAGGGAUCCGUGGAGAAGGAGCCCUUAAGGAGGAGUGGGAUGUGGUGGGUGGAAGACAGAAGCCAGAGUAAACACGGAAGUCGGCAUCUUCAUCACUGACAACUGUUUAUCAAGCACAUCCAUGUGUGGGACAUUAAAUUAAAAUUAUUGGGAUAAAGAGAUGUAUAAGCUACUGUCUUUUUCCCAAAUACUUGGCUUAUGGGAAAGACCUAACUUUCAGAAAGUGAAAUGAAAAGCAACACAAACAGCCAGGUAAUACACAGAGCAAGAGUUGCAGUAACUCUGAAAAUGAAAGGAACUUAUCCCGGUGAGAAUGACAAGCCCAGGGACAGGGGGUGAGCUGUUUGUGUGGAGCAAGGGGCUCACUCACUAUAAUGAGAGCCUUGUACAAGCCAGGCGCUCAAUACACUGGAUGCAAAGAGCUCAGUGGCAACAGGAGGACCAGGAACUCUAAUGUGUGUGGGGGCAGAUAUGAUGGGAAGGGUACCUCUCCUGGUCAGAGGCAUCAGAGGUUUCUUGGUGGAGGAAAGUGGGAAUAGGUCUCACACGGGUCAGAAUGGGCAGGAAGGGUGGGUGGAGGACACUUCUGAGCAAAAGCACAGGUUAGAAGAUUCACUUGGAGUAUAGGGAGUGCCAAAAUUGACUGUAGUGGAGCCAUUUUCAAAUGGAGUCAGAGCUGCCUUUCCAGAGAAACUGCUUUGCUGAAUUGUUUGAGAAAUCAGCAGGGAAGGGACAUUCUGACCACGAAUACUGAGGAUUGUGGACUUUCUGAAGAUAGAAUCAGUAGUCUCUCAACGUUUAGCCAAGAUUAGCUCUCUGCCUCCAACUCCAAUUAAGAUUCUUUAAAAUACAACCUCCCUGCUUCGUCUUGAAAAGCCCCUGAGUUUUAAUGGCGGGCAGCACACUAUUUGGGUUUCUACCUGAAUCUGUGCUCCCUGAAUUGCAAUUCUUGAGACUCUCAAAUAAACUUUUUUCCUCUUUUGCAG